UACGGAGGAUCCAAGCGUUAUCCGGAAUCAUUGGGUUUAAAGGGUCCGUAGGCGGCCUUAUAAGUCAGCGGUGAAAGUUUUUGGCUUAACCAAAAAAUUGCCAUUGAUACUGUAGGGCUUGAAUGUUUGUGAAGUAACUAGAAUAUGUAGUGUAGCGGUGAAAUGCUUAGAUAUUACAUGGAAUACCAAUUGCGAAGGCAGGUUACUAACAAAUGAUUGACGCUGAUGGACGAAAGCGUGGGUAGCGAACAGG
rnacentral:rRNA from 1 species